CUUUUAGGAUCAAGGGAGUGUAAAAUCCGUAAUUGACUCACCAAAUACGACCUGUCCAAUAUUCUUUCAUAAAUCGGACAGAAUUGUCCUCACCCAAAAUCCUUACACUUCUCAAAAGUCAAAAAGUCGAAACAAAAUCGUUCCUCUCUGCUUCUUCUUAUUCUUCUGAACUGGGAAGAACAGAAAUUUGCCAUAGAAUAUACUUUUUUCACAUCUUCUGUAAAAUCUUAACCAAAUCAUAUAUAACGAGAUUAUCAUGGGACGGCAUGAAAAAACGGUAUCAUCUUCACAAGAUCUCUCCAAGUUGCCCGAAAGGCCGACGAAAAGGUCAUCAGCAUCAAUUUAAAGGGGUGAUCGAUUGCGUAACAAAUAUAUUAUGGAAGAGGUUGACAAUUAUACUUUGAUAGAGAGUGAUAAUGCGAGAUGGUUCUAUGCAUCAAGUUGCUCACUACACUGGAAGUGCUAAGACGGUUUGGAAGUUCGCAACCACCCCAACAGAAGAAGAAGAAGAAGAAGAAACACAAGAACUGACUUUAUGUUAUGGAUCUCUAGUUGCCAAUCUUUUGUAUUUCAAGUCUUUUCUUUCCUAGUUAUACAACAUUUGAAGAAGAGAUUGAAAUGUUACACCUGUUUGAAUUUAUGCAAUGGAUUUCUUGUUAAACAUGUGUGUAUUUGAUCAUGCA